GCAAUUUCACACAUGCGUUAAUUCAAGAAAUACCGUUUUAUCAUUUUGAACUUUAAUACCGUGAUAGGAAAUAGGGUGAGGGGUCCUUACUUGUUUUCGAGAUCCGAAUACGAUUCACAGUGCGCCUGCAGGCUGUCCCUAAUUUUCCCUGAAUUUUUCUCGGGGAACUGAAACACACUAACAGUACCUGCACGUGUUCCAAAAAAAUUCCAAAUUAAGCCCAGGGCCUCUUUCGGCCCAAAUCGCAACUCCGGCACGGCGGCUCCGCCGUGCUCCGGCGACGGCGCCGCCGCUGGCGGCGGCGAGUCACCUCGGGUUGACUGUUUUCGGCCGUUUCCGGCCGAAUUCGGCCACACUCGCAUUGGUCCUUGUCAGAAAACAACCCUAGGGCCCUCGGGGGCCAAAAAAUCACGGAAAAACGGAGCUUACCGGUGGCGGCGCUCUCGGGUGCAGCGGCUCUCCGGCGAGGUUCGUGUUUUGGUGAUUCGGCUCCGGUCAACCUGUAGAGAAAAGAAUGGUGAUCACGGUGAUAUAAAAAUUGCAUCGAACGGAGGCCGGGAAGGGCCUCGU
rnacentral:lncRNA from 1 species